GCCAAUCAGGCUGUUUUCGACGGUUUGCCCCGCUUUGGCUGUUUAACGGCUGCAUGUGCAGUGAUGCUAGAGUAGAACAGGUCUGGACCUUGUUAAUGUAACUGCUGCCAGCUUUCCUGUAAGGAUCCCCAUCCAGGGACAGCUGGAGCUGGGCUGUGAGGACCAGAAAGUGGAGAAGGUUGCUAGGGGAACGCUAGAGCAAGACUUGGAAGGGGCUGGAAAGCUGAAGGAAAACUCAAGCUCUACAUCGCCCCCCUGUGGGAUCUAGGAAAAGUGCAGGCCUCCGGUUUCUUUACUCAUCUCAAGGUGGUGAGAGGCCUUGCCUGGAAGAAGAGCAGGUUACACCAAGAUGGGGAAUGGAGUAGUGUGCAGCUGCCACCAGCCAGGCGGAGACUUUAGGAUUCACUUCUGGACAGGGACAGGGAAAACAUUUUCCUUUCAAUGCCUCGAGGCCCUUCAGCAACUGUAGGAGCGGGCGUGGUGUCGUCGCUACUGUCAAAUCCUGGACCCGGCAGCCGACUUUUUCCUGACUUGGACAUCAGCAGGAUUAACACCCAUUCCCCGUUUUGUAGCGGAAGCAAGGGAAGUUUCAAGACACACAGUAAAGUUUGCUUCAGUCCAGGGAUCACAGUGCACAAAACCAGAGCAUACUUCUCUCUGAGCUCUCCGUGAUGUUGAAAAAGGGGCUGUCACAGUGGAAGGAGCAUGUCUGUUUGGGACUGUGAGUCACAUAGAAGCCACUCUGGAAGAGGAAGCCCAGGGCAGAGGAGACUAGCACAGCCCCAGCAUUCCUGAGCACUCCUUGUGAUGGGAGCUUCUUCAAGGAUGACCAAAUGCUUACCCCGCCUUGUGCCCAGCUCAGUGCAGACAGAAGUCACUACACUGAACGAGAACUACAACCAGGAAGCAGUCUCCACCCUGAGAAGCAGCCAUUAGUACACAGAGGGUAUGCUCACAUAAAAGAAGAAAAACUUUCCUUUGUGGGGAUAUAUUUUUACUGAAAAAUCUUUCUCGCCAACAUGCAUGAGAAGCAUUGGGUUGAUCAGAUGUGCCACCUUACUGAUUGAUGCCUGAUGGACAUAGUAAAGUUGACCCAGAAUCAUGUCUCCUAUGGACUAUGUGGGAAGAGUCUCCUGGACACAGACUUUUUUGGCAGCAAGGGACAGGAGAACAGGAGAUGGACGGAACCUACCUUCAUUGGCGGGACUGUCAUCCCUUCUUUGCUAUCUGCUUGCAAGACUCAAAGAUGUCGGGCUAAUGGGAUAAGGGUGCCAACCCGAUUAUCAAUGACUAGUGCUCUCAUUUUAUAGACUAUGCUGUUAGUCCUGGGAACACAAUGUAGUAUGGCACUUGUCUGCUUUAUAACCCCCAAGCAGCAGGAAUUAUACCCUUUUGGCCAGUUGGACUGAAGCCCUUAGAGAAACAUAGCCAUUGAACCCCACAUGCCUUAUGUACACUAUGGGGCUCUGGCAGUUUCCCCAGAGACUGACCCUGUCUGAGCUGCACCCAGGUGGCCAGAGCUGAUGAUGGAUGAGAUAGCACUGCUGUAGUGUCCAGAACGCCUCAGGUCCCAGGGAGUGGGCAGCCCAGUGAGAGUCAAGUGGCUUGUCCACCAGGAGAUGGGUCACCUAGCUCCUGUCACAAUGUGGGCAGUCUCUGGCCUUCCUAACACAGUACAUGUGAUCCUCUUGCGUCUGUUUUGUUACUGGUUGUAUCCUGAAUGGGCUAAAGAAAAUUCCCCAUGUCACAGUGGCCUCCUGGUCCUGUGCACCACUUUGCUGUCAGUUGCAGGAACGAUGCAUGGGCUCCCUCAUGUUAGCAAGUGUGUGGUGUGCUCCACACUUACACUCCAGUAGCUUCCACCAUGGUGUCUGUGGGAAGGUGCCAGGGGUGCUGUUUUUACGUGGUACCGAUUGACUGUGACAAUUACCUUGUAAUCACUUAUUUUCAACUCCAUUUCUGGUCGCCUCUACCUCUAUAUUGUGUGUAGGAAGUGCUGUCAUCAGAACAAAAUGCACCCUCAUCUCUGAUGUCACAAACCACAUCACACUAAGCUCAAAUUAAUGCCUUGACUACUGUGUCUCUGCACGGAUGAUGCUGAAUCGCUGGCUUCGUUCCUUAGUCUCCACAUGUAAAACAGUUGGCUGUUGCUCGUGUUGCACAAGUAUUUUAUGCCUUAGCAACACUCGCCUCCCUGUGGCUGUGGAUUCUGUUUACAAGGUGCACAAGUCACUUCCUGGAUGCUGUCUACAGCCCCUUGCAAGCUCAGUGAACACUGCAGAAGAACAGGUGUGAGAUUGUAAGAGCCUAUCAGGAAGAGUACAUAAUAAGUAGAUUUCCAGUUACCAUGACUGUAGCUGACUUGAGGUCAGACUGCUAGGAGUAUUACAGAAUAAACCUAGCUACAUUUUCCCACUUAUUCUCUCAAAUACUACAAAUAAGACAAUCCAUAGAGAGCUGUGGGGAACUCUAUAAUAAACCCUUGCUCCAGGAGUGAGACUCAUUGGUGUCAAGGUAACCAUACCCCAGGGAGGAUGGAGACCCUUAUGUCCUCACCUACGUAGACCUCUGUGACCCAGACUUUGGCAGCUCACUGCUGCUGACACCCAGGCCCAUGCUUCUGUAAGUCCCCCCAAUAAACUGUGCCUGUGUAAUCAAGUUCUGUUACCUGUUAGUCUUUCACCUGUGGCCUCUUGUUCCUGCUGCGUAGGCAUUGGUUAUUCUAUAACGAAUUCCCAGGAGAGAAACUAGAAGUCUCACUAGGAGGGCUAGAAGUCUCACUAGGAGGGCUAGAAGUGUCCCAUUUUUUGGCUAGACUAAGUUCUUGUCUUAAACAUUUAUAGACUUGGUAUUCAACAGCACAUUCUAAGAAACAUAACUUAUUUUUCAGGUUAGACUCUGUGGAAUUUGUCCCAUGUGUGUCCUUGGAUAUGUUUUGCUUUGGUUCUGGGUUCUGAGCACUGCAACUUGGUUUCGAUCCGUGUCAAAGGUUAGACACCACAUCUAGGCUUGCAGAUCACCCUUCCCAUAGACAGCAUUUGGUUUCCUCUUGGAUUACACUGUUCUUGUUAUGUAUUCUAUUCCAGACCUUCUUCUCGCUCAAAAUUGACUUAAUAUGAGUCUUUCCCAUGUGGCGAGCCCACAACUGUUGAGGUUUGCUCUGUUCUGUGUACUAAAUAUUGGCCCCCAAGAUCUGGUUGUCUCAGGGACCAGGAAAUCCUCAUGCACACCAAGCGAUGCUAUGUGUACCCUUGCUCCUUAAUUUAAAACUGUUGGUUGAAUAAAGAUGCCUAAAGCCUAGAGCUGGAUAGAAGAGAGGUGGGCAGGGCUUUGGUUCCUGGGUUUGGGGUUAGAGACAAGACCAUGGCAGGUGGAGAGAGAAGACGUCAUGGGGUAGGUGAGUCAUGAAAGCAUGGCCACGAGGGCUGGCCAGUUAGUUAAGAGCAGACCAGGUAAAACAUGGCAAGUCAUAACUUGGGGUUACUGAUAAGGAAAUAGACAUAAUAGCACAGAGGGCAGAUAUCUAUCCAGCUUUAGUGCUGAUUAAGGCUUAUUAUAAAUAUAAAAGUUGUUUGUCUUUUAUCUGGGAACUAAAUGAUCCAAGACAGGGUAGAGACCCCCAAUUAAUAUUAAAUAUUUACCAUAACACACAACUAUCAACCCUUCUGUGUCUCUCAGGACUAUGUUUAAUAUUGAGCACUUAAGUAUAAAUUAGGCUUUGGGUGGCAUGGCUUUGCCUCAGUGUGAUUAGUUUAAGUGUUCUGAACACAAGGCAGGCAGGACUGAGCUGCAGGAGUGAGCAGGACUUGAUAGGUCUGUUCACUCCAUUUUGAAAUCAGGAAAAUUAUAACUUGAGGGGUCUUGGCAUGUGACCCCCAUCUCUUCAGUCCCCACCAGCACUUUGAUUUUUGAUCAUAGCAUUACCACAGACAAGUAGUGUAUUGUUCUUCAAUCAGUCACUAGGCUGCAGAUUUCCGUGCUUCCUGGGCUUGUUUCCAGGCACUGGAAAGGUCACUCUGAGAUCCUCCUGGAGAGUCUGUCAGAUCCCUGCAUGGAUCCUUCACUAUCUGGACUAUCUCUGGAUCCUUUGAUGAGAGCCUCUGUAGAUGCUGGCUGCUUUCAUCUGCCCGUGCUGAGGAACAUGAAGUCCCUUGAUUAUCUUCUGCAUGACCUGGGAGUUUGUCGAUUCCAUGGACACGGGGCCAUCCACAGGAACACAAACAACCCAUCAGCUGCCAAACUGCUGAAGAAAAGUGACUCCCCUCCUCCAGCAGGCGUAAGUUGCCAGUGGCUAAGAGUGGAACUGCCUGAGUCCCCACCUCCAUCGAUGCUGCAAAGUGCGUGCCUCGACUUUGUGCAGGGCCAGCUUUAAGAGGACAGAGCCAUGGAUUGCGAGUGGGAGAGAUUGUGUCUGUAAGGGCAGAGGAGACACCAAUGAACUGAGUGCCACCUGCUUCCGUGUGGUAGGCUGCUGAGCAUUUUCCUGUGAGGAUUGCCCCAAAGGGCACAGUGAGAUAGUAACAGCAAUAUGGCGAUGUAAGGACUAAAUCAACGUGUGUACACAACACCUGAGCACAGUUACGUUCUCGGCGCUGCUUAAUUAGUUGUUACUAUUUGUCCACAUUGAUCUUCAAUAUAAACCAGAAUUUUGACCUUGCUCCCUGAACUGACAUGGGUGGGCAGUAGAGAGACGUGGAGGCUGCACGGUUUUGUAAGAUGUGCAGGAGCUGCACGCUGUGGAUGCUGCACGCUGUGGAUGCUGCACGCUGUGGACCCCCUGGCCAGAAGCUCCUUGUUCUUACACUGGGAGCCAUGCAACUGUGCGAAGCUGGUUCCUGGUGGAAAGAGGAGCUACCAGGCCUGUUCACUGUCCAGAACUCGGCAAAGCAGAGACAUGGCUCUCUCCUAAGGCACCAGUGCAAGGAGCUUUCACUUCAUGGAUCCCAAAGUGGCCUAUGUAUGGUGGUAGGAUUUUCUCGGCAUCCUUGUCCAUGAAGGACAUGUGUACCUCCUGACAUUAAUGCUGCUUGGGAGCCUUCCCUGCUAGCCAGGAGGCCCCCAAUCUAUCUCACCUCCUACCGCCUCCUUGCCUGGUAAGUUAGGACCAAGUAGCUCCUCUCUCGCAGUCUGUGUCAUGGCUGAAACAUAACCCAGAUAUGAGGUUGGAGACAGCUGUACAAAGACCUCAUGUUCCAGGUGGCAUGAUGACAGAAGGCAGGGACAUAAGGACAAUAUGGGUUCUUUACAGAGAUGUCAAGCAGGUCUCCUAAGCAGGAACAUGGGAACAUUCUACAGGGGAAGUCUCCCUUCCCAGGAGGUUGGGUAGAAUCCCAUGGCUUUGCAUCGUUUAAACCGCAAAGCAGAUAUGUUCCUAAAUAUAUUACUGGGGAGGCAGACCUCCCCACCCACCCCCUAAAAAAAAACCAGCUUAAGUUUUACAUCUUUCUCAGUAAAGUACCUCCAAUGAUAGUUUUCUUCUGCUCUUUCCUCAUUUGCAUACUUUUAUGUACUCACAUUUGAACUUAGUAAAGGCCUCGAACACUCCAGGCCUUUACUCUACCACUGAGCCCCACUCCCAGCAGGUUAGUCAGCUGCUCCUCCUAAGUGCUGUGAUUACAGGCUUGCACCACCCUCCUGGCUUUUGGGGGGCAGCGGGGGGCUGAGGGUAGAACCCAGGGUUUUAUGCAUGCUGCACCAGACAGACUGCCACCUGAGCUGUAUCCCCAGUCUCAAGAGGAAACCUUCUUGAAAGACAGAUUUUUAUGAAUUUAUUCCAGGUGUUUCAGUAAGUUCAAACACAGAUGUUUCACAGGUGACCUUUUUAUUUUAAAAGUGUCUGUGCCAGAUCCCAAAUCUGGGAUCUAGCAGACAACUUUAUAACUUAGAAGUAUCCUGAGUAUGACGUAAGCCCCUCUCACUAACGAUGCGCUCUGAGAGUGAAAUAAUCUCGGGCUGUGGAUACGCAUGUAAAUUCUGAAUGUAUGACGUGAGUGAGUCUGCCCAGUGCUAGCAUUGACACACCUAUCUAUGUUCCGGGCAAGGAUGCAAUAAUGUCCUGUUUGUAGGAUGAAUAUCUCACCAGAGCAAACAACAUGUCAGAAAUAACUCUGAUCGCCUGGAGAGAUGGUUCUGGGGGCUUACUGUUGUUAUGGAUGACCCAGUUCAGUUCCAAGUACCCACAUCAGGCUGUUUAUAACUGCCUAUAACUGUAGCUGCAGGGAGUCUGAUGGUCUCUUCUGGCCUCUCAUGGCAACUGUACUCAUGUAGACAUAUCUUUACACAGACAUAUACAUGCAUACACACAAUUUUAAAAUAAAUCUUUUUUAAAAAAAAAUAUACAGUUAAUCUUCACAUGCUCUGUCCUUCCUUCGAGUUGACUUGAUUCCUGGGACUGCUCUGCCUACAACGGGGACAACAGUGCUGGUCUGCUCAGCAUGUUCCAGUUGAGUCAGCUAUGCUAACUCUCUGGCAGCACACAGACAGACAGUACUGCAGACCACACGCAGCCCCUUCCGGAGAAGCCUCUCUCGAGGAGCUGCCAGGGCUACUGUAUGGGGAGCCGAACAAGACGCCACACAACAGCUACAUGGCAUGAAGAAGCCAAGGCCAGUGAUGGGAAGUGACCACUGUUCCAGGACUUUGAUUAGCUGAGGCCAGAGGAUCCCCACCCUGCCAAUGAAGAAAACCCUAAGAACUUAAUAUUCUUGGAUACUGUCUUAGCAGGAGCCUCGCAUAACUGUUUUCUGAGAGGCUUCAUCCAGCAGUGGAUGAAACGGAUGCAGAGAGACCCACAGCCAAACAUCAGGCGGACGGAGCUCGGGCAUCAGAGCGGUGGGUAGAAGUGAGCAAGCCAGAGGGGUCAAGGAAACCGGGAAGACCUGCGGAGUCAACCGACUUGGGCCUGUGGGGGUGCACAGAGACUGAGACACUAACCUAGGCUCCCUACACAUUUGUAGCAGAUGUGCAGCUUGAUCUUCAUGUGGGUCCCCUAACAUUUGGAGCAGGGACUGUCUCUGACUCUGUUUGCCUGCCAUUGGAUCCCCUUCCCCUAGCUGGACAGUCUGGUCAAGCCUCAGUGGGAGAGGAUGCACGUAGGCUUACUACAACUGGAUGUCCUAGGGUGGGGAAGGGGGCUUCCCCUUCUCUGAGGUAAGUGGGGAGGAGGGGCUUAUGAGGAUGGGACUGGGAGGAGAGGAGGGUGGGGCUACGAUCAGGAUGUAAAGUGAAUAAGUUAAUUAAUUAAUGAAAAAAAAUGCUGUGUCCUGAGUGACCACAGCAUUGCUACUCCCUAGGCAAACACUGCACUGUGCAUGACUUUCCGUGGGCACUGGGGUCACUUCCUCCCCAAGCCACUCAAAUGGUUUUCUCACCCUCAAAGCGGUGGGCAGAUGUAACACUUUUCCUGUAUCCGCCCUUCAUUAGUUAAAGUUGGGGCUUUCGUCCUUCCUCACUGCUUCUCCCUCUUCUCCCUCUCUCUUGCCCUAUGGCAUCCUAAUGUGAGACUCACUUCUCCUGCGAGCCGAGUCCCGUCCCCCCAGGAAACUCCCAAGGCCCAGUCUUCUGGGGUUCUUCUUCUUCUUCUUCUUCUUCUUCUUCUUCUUCUUCUUCUUCUUCUUCUUUUUCUUCUUCUUUUUUUUUGUCCCUAAAAGUGUGAGACAUUUAUAGGCAGCUGAGAGAAAAGGAAUUUUGACCUAAUUUUGCUGGGGAUGCUCCAACACUGCACAGGAAGCUAAAAAAGAAAGGUCAGUCCCUGGCACUUACAAGCAUGGUGUUUUCUAGUUGUUCUCAAGCAGAAGAGAUGGAGGACCAGAAAGAAUAGAACAGUGCCCGUUUCAUGGGGACCGAACACACUGAGAGAACCUUACCACAGUUAAGUCUCUCUGCCCACAAGGGACCUAUGGGAUCCACCAUCACACCGGGAGAUCAAGGCACAGCAAAGACACAUAUCUGGGACUCACAACUCAGAUCCUUCUAUUCCUUGUAACUGCUCCAUUAAAGGCACAGAAAAGAAAACGGUGCCAUUUUACUGAUGGAUUCAGUGCAACAGAUGGACCAUCCACCUGACCAAACUGCAGAAUCGAAGUAUCCAUGCACGGAGAUAUCAUCUUCACAGAAAAUUAAAAAUCCCACAUUUAAAUCUCCAUAUAGUCACAGACUCUAUUAUAUGACUGCAAGCAGUUCCUUCCUGUCUGAGCCUCAGUUUCUCUAUUACAAUGGAGAGAGUUAAACUAAACAGAUUUUCCCCAAAGGAUGCCACAUGCUUUUCGGUCCUCCCAUUCAGAGCUGACAUUCUAUGAUCCUUCCCCCACCCCCACCCCCACCCCCAAACAGUUGGAGUCUUAUUUUUAACUACACAUAGAUGUCUCUUACAAAUUAUCCAGGGUCAUGGAUUAGCUGAAAAUACAAAAGCUUAAUUUCCUCUGCUUGGCUACUGUUAUAAAUGAUGAUCAAAAGAGUCAAAGAACAAACAGAGCUGGCUGCAGAGAGAACGCUGGGAUGGGGGCGGGGGUGGUGGUGGCAAUCUUACCCAGGACCCCUUGCGGUCGGAACUCUGGGGUCUGUAAUUCACUGCUGCUUUGGGCAGGCUGAAAUGAAUCAUAACAUUUUGAGCCCUCAAUGGAAGAGAGAAGAAAAGGGAACAAGAGGCCAGCGAGAGUGAGCGCCCAGUGUUUCCCCAGUUAAAUACAUGUUUUCAUCGAAGCGUUGAUGGGUUCAGAGGAAUGAAUGGCCACGAUUUAGUUAUCUUUUGGAUGGAUGAUUUUAAAUGCUUGUUGGAAGGGUCUUUGAUGAGACAGCCUCUUCAAGCCACACCACAGCACAGACUGGAAGUCUUCGGGACCGGGGGGCUCUCGCUGUCUUUCAGAGCCGGGAAGGCUUUGCGCUCUGAGAUUCCUGACGCUGGCGUUUCUGUUUCUAUGAUCCCCACUGGCACACGGCUCACUUCCACCCUUUCAGACUCUCAUCAGACAGCAUGUCAUAAGAUGGGGACGGAGGGGGAGAGAGGGAGAGACUGUAGAAUCUUAACUCAUGCCGUGCUUAUUUGGGGCUGGCUAUGGUUUGAAUGUCUGUGUCUUCUCCUCUGGAGAGAUUCCUGUUGAAACUUAAUCCCCAUUACAACAGGAUUAGAAGGUGGAGCCUUUUGACAGUGAUUAGGCCUCAGGGCUCUGCUGUCACGGAUGAGAUUAGCACCUUCUCCACCAAGGAUGGGAUUAGCACCUUAAUAAAGGGGCCUGAAAGAAGGAGUGCAGCCCUUUCGCCUUCCCCUCCCUUCUGCCAUCCGAGGACACGCACUCCAGCUAUGGAUAUGACAACAAGGAGACUCUUGGAGGCAGAGAGCAGCCCCUCUCCCAAAACACACUAGUGCCUCGAACCUACAUCCC
rnacentral:lncRNA from 1 species